CAAAGAAUAGUUUAAAAAAAAAAUUAUAAUUUUGGAGAUUAUAGAUAAAGAAUUUCUUUUUCUUUGA
rnacentral:tRNA from 1 species